ensembl:lincRNA
UUAGAAAUUAAACAAUUAUCGUAUCCAGAUAUCCAUCAUGUUCUAGGCCGUGUAGUUGUGAUGAAGGUAAUGUUGAGGUAGAAUGUCGAGGUAAUAUAUAUUUUUUUUUUUGGAUGAGAUCCUGUUCUUGGCGGUGUCGUUGUCGUUGUGAAGGUAAUGUCGAGGUAAUAUAUAUAUAUUUUUUUUCAGAUGAGAUCCUGUUCUCGGCGGUGUAGUUGUUGUGGUGAAGGUAAUGCUGAGGUAAUAUUUAUUUUUCAUAGCAAAAAGACUGUUUAAUUUGAUAUAUUUAAGAAGCGAAUGUAAGAAGAAUUUUACGUUCGCUUCUCGGCUUUGCCUAUUCCAUAUUAAAAAACGUGGAGAAGAAGAAGAACAUUGAUGUGAGAUCCAUGAGGUAUGUUGAUAGAAAGUGAUUGUGUAAACAGAUGUAAAUGUGAUGAGGAAAUGGUCACCUUGGUAUGUUUUCUUACUUCCGGUCUAUAUCCACGUGUGUUCGCCCCCCCCCCCCCCCCCCCCCCCCCCCCCCCCCCCCCCCCCCCCCCCCCCCCCCCCCCCCCCCCCCCCCCCCCCCCCCCCCCCCCCCCUUCCCUCAUUACGGACUCCGUGUUGAGGGUCAUGAACCAAGACCCCCCGAGCUCCGAUGGAGGGAUCAGAGGGGGUCCGGGAGGGGUUAAUGAGAUCUGUGGGUUCAAGAUCCUGGACGUUCAGAACCUUCCCAUUGGAGAGGACGGUCCGUACCUGGGACCAGAAUCUUCUAUUGUGGUGGUGAAGGUGGAACCUGAACCUACGAAUGGUUCUCACUCACAAGGUGAAACUGGUCAAGAUGAGGGGAGAUGUCUCCAUGAUAACUCGCUUCUAACUUCAAACACAAUCCGUGUAAAGGAAGAGCUGAGUGAAGAUUCUUGCAAUGCCAAUGACAGACGGAUCCCAGUCAUGAGGAUGUUGUCGAUUGCCAAGAAUAUGAUCACGUUCAAUGAAAAUUCUUUGCAGCAACACGAGAAGAUUGCGGAUUACAAACAGAAAAACUUUCAUCGUCAAAAGCAGAUGAAGGUUCCCACUUAUGAGAAGAUAUACGUGUGCACCGUGUGCAAACAAUCAUUCGAUUGCAUUUCAUCCUGUCGGAUCGAUCGGGCAGGUGGAUAAAGAGUGAUUCUGCAAAUAGAUGAAAAGGAUAUCUCAAAAAGUUGUGGACGGAUCCGGAUGAAAUUUUAUGGACAGGUUCAGUGUGUGACAGCUGAACUGAUUCAAUUUUGGUGAAGAUCCAGUUCCGACUACUACAAUUCUUCAACAUUGAGAGAUGGGGCCAAAAACGAUAUCUCAAAAAGUUGUGGACGGAUUCGGAUGAAACUUGAUGAACAGGUUGGGUGUGUCACAAGGACAAAUUGAUUAGAUUUUGGUGACGAUCCAAAUCCGGAUCUGAAUACGAGAAUUUUUUUAUUUUUAAUUUUAAUUCCAAAUGUGUGCGCUUUCUGUUGGUAUGUGGUGUGGGUGUUUUCUGUUGGUAUGCAUGGUUUCUUUUUGUCCUCCAUCUGUCUUUCUUUAUUUUUCUUUGUCUACAGAGGGGUGAAUCUUGCAAAUCGUUUUUGUAAGGCUCACUUGGCUGCACCUGGAUGAGUUUGAGGGUAGAGGAGUAGCAGCCAAAACCCAAAUCCUAUUCAGAUUCCUCCUGAUGACUCCACCUUUGUCUAUUUGGGUUCCUCCUGAUACUCCAGUGCUGUAUUUGGUCAUUUAUUUGAUUAAUUAGUCUGUGAGAGGUCAUCAUGGAAAAUCGCAUCAUAUAAUGCAUAAAAUUGCUCGAAGUUCAUAAUUUGAAAACUAUAGCACUUACAAAAGUGAUGUAUACAGCGAUUCAUAGGUAUGAAGAUCCUAGACAUUCGAGAUAAGAGUGAGGAAAGUGGAAAAAAAAAUUGAGCACUUCAUCGUUCAGAAACUGUUGCGGUCUGUUUCAAGUAAAGGAAUGUUUGAGCAGGCCGAACAAAAUGGUGGCUUCAGACUCCAGCGAUAUGACAGAGGGUUAACAAAUAUGGCAUGCCACCAUCUUGGUAAGGCUGGGGGGGG